rnacentral:sRNA from 1 species
CAAACCACCGUCCUGCGACUGUUUAUAGUCAGUGUGUGGGAGCUGAACCUUGCAUCAUUUGCUUAAUGGGUUUCUUCCCCUUCCCCUGGAAACAGGAAAAAGAAUGUUAGCUUUCUCCAGGAGCCUUCAGCAACAAGGCUCAAAUCAUUUUCCCAGCCUAGCCCAGCAAACAAAGAUGCUUACAUUCUCCCCGGCACUGCAAACAGCUUUUCAGUGGCAGCUGGUCCUAGGAUUAGGCUCCCCUCCCCCUGCCCUGGUCCCAGUGCAGAUCCACAGAUCUCCAGGUUCAUUCCCUCCCUGUACACAGGCUCUUUGUAAACGGAAAGAAGAAUCUGCAAAACAAACAAACAAACAAACAAAAACCCAUGACCUUCAUCCGUGGGAACCAGCUAAAACUAGGAUCAAGCAGCAUCUGAAAUCUGUAUCGGACAUUGCCCGGCUUUGCUGUAACACACCUGUGGCCUCUUCCAGAGUAUUCUGUUUUAGGGAGAAAGCCUGAACUUCCAGAUGGGGACAAUGAUGAUGAUGUCAUAGCAGACAUAAGUAACAGGAAGAUGGCGAAACUCUACAUGGGGCAGCUGGGGCCAUUUCUGAGUGGAUGAAGAGUGGUAACUGUAUUCCUACAAUUACCAUGGUCCCCCAUCACAUUAACCUGAUUGUGGAAACAUGUCUGGUCUACUCUGCUUAAUCAUAUCAACAUACCAAAGAAGGAUCGUCCGUACAUGAGCUUCUGGAUGUACACAGGAGGAAAUUGCACAAGCACAGCAUGGGGCCAUGGGAUAGCCACAUCGUCAGAAAGACCUGGCUGAGCAGUGACACCAUGAAUAAGACUCUCACACUGAAGAGCUGUAAGCGGACCUUUAGCUGUGCCCAAGGCUCUCAGACGGUGAGAAGUGAGGCUUUAAAUCUACUGUUUUGCUUGGAGUCAAAGCCGUGUUUACUACCUUGCCUAUUUACUACACAGUCCCAAAUAUAUGCACUUUAAUGUCAAAAUCACUUCCAGAAGCCAGCCACUGACAAUAUCCUACUGUCUCAGAAGUUGUAUCUGUUGAAACUUACAUGCAUUCAAACCAGAUGUCCAACAACAAGGAAGUGGUUUUAGUAAAGUAAGAUACAUCAAGAGCAUGGAAUAUUAUGGCCAUAUUAAACUUGUAAUUCUGAAGUUCUGUUUCGAGACAUAAGAUGGCAUGAUGUUUUAUGGAUGAAUACAUAAAAGCUUUGUGUGUGUAUCCUAAAGAAGUUGGAUAUGCAUGAACUCCUUUAAAAUAUUUCAUCUUGGUGGGAAAUCAGAGCCCUGUUUGCUUCCUGUUCGCCUUGAAGACCAGCCAAGACCUCAUCUGCCACAUCCAAUAAGGUGGCAGUUGGAGAACCUCGUGCUAUUUUUCACAUGGCCAAAGCAAGCUGUUGGAUCCUGUGGGACACAAAAAGAUGGCUGACUUUGGUCUGUGCAAGGAAAAUAGCUGGGAAGGAUUGACACUCCAAACAUUCUGGGGGGGCACUCCAGACUGCACUGCAGAGAAAUCAUUGCUAAUCAGCCUCUGGAAGGUCUGUGGGUGGGUGGGCCGUCAGAGUAUUGCUGUACAAAAUGUUGGCCAGGCAGGCCCUUUGUAGGGGGAAGAUGAACUUGUCUGGUGUGCAAGACAAUGGGGCUUGAUCCCGUAGCCUAUGUCUGAGAAGGCAGUGUCCAUCUGCAGAGGGCUAAGGACAAGACACCCAGAUAAAUGUGUUGAAGUCCUGAGGGGAACGUGAUGUGAAAGUAUGUUUAUGGUAUAUUUAUUGAGACAAACUUCAACACACAGCGCUUUCCACCUCAGUAUGAACCCAAAGCUCCUCUUGAUAAGAUUUCCAACUUCAGGAAGACUUCCAGAGAAGAAUACCAUUCCAGUAACAAUGGGAAGUUGAGAACGGCCACCAAUGGUCCAGAAAAAAAAAAAGAAUAGAGCUUAGUUUUUGCUUUUAAAAGGGUGUGGGGUGAGGUGGGAAUUUUGUGAUGGCAAGUGCCACUGGAAAGGGUGAUUCCCAACUUAGUUACAUGCGCUGUCAAUGCCAUUGGGUCACAACAUUGUUCAGUACACUGGGGCCUUUUGUUCUCUAACUGUAUAUUCCAAGCUUGUGAAUUAGAAUUAAGUCUCUCCGAUUUGUCCAG